CCUACGGGAGGCUGCAGUAGGGAAUAUUGCACAAUGGGGGAAACCCUGAUGCAGCGACGCCGCGUGAAGGAAGAAGUAUCUCGGUAUGUAAACUUCUAUCAGCAGGGAAGACAAUGACGGUACCUGACUAAGAAGCCCCGGCUAACUACGUGCCAGCAGCCGCGGUAAUACGUAGGGGGCAAGCGUUAUCCGGAUUUACUGGGUGUAAAGGGAGCGUAGACGGACGGGCAAGUCUGAAGUGAAAGGCAGGGGCUCAACCCCUGGACUGCUUUGGAAACUGUCCAUCUAGAGUGCCGGAGAGGUAAGCGGAAUUCCUAGUGUAGCGGUGAAAUGCGUAGAUAUUAGGAGGAACACCAGUGGCGAAGGCGGCUUACUGGACGGUAACUGACGUUGAGGCUCGAAAGCGUGGGGAGCAAACAGGAUUAGAUACCCCAGUAGUC
rnacentral:rRNA from 1 species